rnacentral:lncRNA from 1 species
AAGACACUAAGUGCAAAACUUUUAAGAUCUCAAAUAGGGAUCAGGAGAAGAGCAAAGGGCAGAAAUCAAUAUUGUAUUAUUCUUGAGCUAGUAUCUUAAGACAAGAGGGGUUGCUCUGAUGGUAUGCAACCCCCACUUACAACCGAGAGGUUGUGAGUUCGAGUCUCCCAAGAGCAAGGUGGUAAGUUCUUGGAGGGAAGGAUGUCGGGGUCUAUUUGGAAACAGCCUCUCUACCCAAGGUAGGGUUAAGGUGUGCGUACACACUACCCUCUCCAGACACCACUAAGUGAGAUUAUACUGGGUUGUUGUUGUUAUUGUAGUCGUCGUAUCUUCUUCGUGCAUUUUCGGAGGUAUGGACGUUGUUGUAUUGGAGAAAAAUAUUCACGGAAUAAAUAUAAUAUUUACACAAAUGAUGUAAGCAGGAAGGAUUAGAGCAGGGUCAGAAAGAGUCACCUUGGCGAGGUUCCAAGUAUUGGAGAGGGUGAGGGGACCGUGCUGCUGGAUAACAUGGUAAAGAGAUUCUGCAAUUUCAGCAGCUUCUUGGGGUGGUACCUUGGGGUUGAUCUUCCUAAGAUUUGGUGCCCUUUUCCGGGAGAAAUGCCUGAGAAAUACAGUUGCUACGCCAUUUCCAGCAUUCAGACCUCUGGGCCACAUGUCUCCUCAACUCUCACCUCUCUCUCUGCUACUUUCUAUUGCUAUUCCCUGCCGUAUUUACCUAGAGAAUCCUGCCUCUCCCUCUUCCUUGCUCCGAUCCCCUAGCUUCAAGGAAACAAAACCCUGCUUACGCCUUUUUCCUGGACUCCUCUUUUAACUUUGGGCCGAGUUAGGUCGCCUUCCACCCAAAAGCAGGAGUAACUUUUCGAGGCAGCAUUUGUAUU